GCAAAUAUAGUUUAACAAAACAUUAGAUUGUGAAUCUAAACAUAGGAGUUUAAACUUCCUUAUAUGCU
rnacentral:tRNA from 1 species